rnacentral:lncRNA from 1 species
UCCAGUUCGGGAGGCGUUACCUGCGGAGGGUUUGAGGAAGGCCCAGGAGCGAGCCCAUGGUCUUCCGACGCGGGGCCAGGGGCGGGCCCCAGGAUCCGGAGCUUCGGGGGGGCCGAGUCCGGGUUUGGGGCCCGGGAGGCGGGGCCAGUUAGGUCGAGGGUCCCUGGGAUCGUCGGGUCAGGCCUUGGGCUAACGUAGGCACUCUCGCAGUUCCUCCGCCUUCAGGAAGGUCUUUUUAGCAGGGGCCUUACGGGUGCAUGCUUCGGUCCUGGAGGACUUAGGCUAGCCUCCUCUCCAUCAGCGCCACCCGUCUGGGGCCCGAAAGGAGGGAGCUUUCCCUCUGUCCCCCAGCCUUUGGACUGUCACCAAACAAGCCAUUCGUUCACCAAAUACUUUUUAAGCGCCUACCAUGUGCCUGACAAGGGAUAUGUAACGGUGAGAAAAACUAGGUGUGGUCCAGGCCCUUCAGGGACUCAGGGGCUCGUGGAAGAAGUGGAUAUUGAAGUACUUAUCACACAAAGGAGGAUAAAAGUACGAUAGCGAUAUCUACCACGAAGCUGUUGUUCCACACCAGAACCAAAUGAGCGCAAGAUCUGACAAAAAAAAAAGGUUCAUCUUUUAUUCUUCCAAACACUUUCAUUUAAAUCAAGAGGAUGGGAUGUGGUUAUUACUGUGUUUUUAGACAAAAUCAAUGGUUUCUGGCUCUGAGAUGUUGCAUACACCCUCUCAGUCCCUGUAUCCUGAGAUGGAGUCACCUGAGAAUCCACAGCAAGUCCUAACCAGGGAUGGGUCUGGGUGAUUAAGGAAGAUUGGCUUCAGAACUGGGCCAGGGGCACUGCUUUGCUUUUGCUGUUUUGAUCAGCUCUCUGCCUGCAGGAGACGAGGAAAACCAAUGGGAACAGCCCAGUAAAGGCGCCAUUCCCCAUUUUACAGCUGGGGAAACUGAGUUACAGAGCUUUUCUGCACUGAGUCAUCAGGAG